rnacentral:tRNA from 3 species
GCCUCGAUAGCUCAGUGGUAGAGCACUUCCUUGGUAAGGAAGAGGUCGCGGGUCCAAUUCCCGCUCGAGGCUCCA